AGAGUUUGAUCCUGGCUCAGGAUGAACGCUAGCUACAGGCCUAACACAUGCAAGUCGAGGGGCAGCGGGGGCAGAGCUUGCUUUGCCUGCCGGCGACCGGCGCACGGGUGCGUAACGCGUAUCGAACCUCCCCCAUACUCGGGAAUAGCCUUGCGAAAGUAAGAUUAAUGCCCGAUGGUCUCAGAAUAUGACAUCAUGCUUUGAGUAAAGAUUCAUCGGUAUGGGAUGGCGAUGCGUCUGAUUAGAUAGUUGGCGGGGUAACGGCCCACCAAGUCGUCGAUCAGUAGGGGUUCUGAGAGGAAGGUCCCCCACAUUGGAACUGAGACACGGUCCAAACUCCUACGGGAGGCAGCAGUGAGGAAUAUUGGUCAAUGGGCGAGAGCCUGAACCAGCCAAGUAGCGUGCAGGACGACGGCCCUAUGGGUUGUAAACUGCUUUUAUGCGGGGAUAAAGUACACUACGUGUAGUGUUUUGUAGGUACCGCAUGAAUAAGGACCGGCUAAUUCCGUGCCAGCAGCCGCGGUAAUACGGAAGGUCCGGGCGUUAUCCGGAUUUAUUGGGUUUAAAGGGAGCGCAGGCCGGAGGUCAAGCGUGACGUGAAAUGUAGCCGCUCAACGGCUGAACUGCGUCGCGAACUGGUUUCCUUGAGUGAGUUCGAUGUGGGCGGAAUUCGUGGUGUAGCGGUGAAAUGCUUAGAUAUCACGAAGAACUCCGAUUGCGAAGGCAGCAUGCCAAGCCGUUACUGACGCUCAGGCACGAAAGCGUGGGGAUCGAACAGGAUUAGAUACCCUGGUAGUCCACGCAGUAAACGAUGAAUGCUAUCUCUGCGGGGCGAAUGUGCUCUGCGGGGAACAGCGAAAGCGUUAAGCAUUCCACCGGGGGAGUACGCCGGCAACGGUGAAACUCAAAGGAAUUGACGGGGGCCCGCACAAGCGGAGGAACAUGUGGUUUAAUUCGAUGAUACGCGAGGAACCUUACCCGGGCUUGAACUGCCGGCGAACGAUUCAGAGAUGAUGAGGCCCUUCGGGGCGCCGGUGGAGGUGCUGCAUGGUUGUCGUCAGCUCGUGCCGUGAGGUGUCGGCUUAAGUGCCAUAACGAGCGCAACCCCUGCUGGCAGUUGCUAACGGUUCGGCCGAGGACUCUGCCAGGACUGCCGGCGCAAGCCGUGAGGAAGGCGGGGAUGACGUCAAAUCAGCACGGCCCUUACGUCCGGGGCGACACACGUGUUACAAUGGGGCGGCACAGAGGGAAGCCAGGUGGCGACACCGAGCGGAACCCGAAAACGCCUCUCAGUUCGGAUCGGAGUCUGCAACCCGACUCCGUGAAGCUGGAUUCGCUAGUAAUCGCGCAUCAGCCGUGGCGCGGUGAAUACGUUCCCGGGCCUUGCACACACCGCCCGUCAAG
rnacentral:rRNA from 1 species